rnacentral:misc_RNA from 1 species
GAUGAAGAACGUAGCGAAAUGCGAUACGUAAUGUGAAUUGCAGAAUUCAGUGAAUCAUCGAGUCUUUGAACGCACAUUGCGCCCCCUGGUAUUCCGGGGGGCAUGCCUGUCCGAGCGUCAUUGCUGCCCUCAAGCACGGCUUGUGUGUUGGGCCUCCGCCCCCCGGCUCCCGGGGGGCGGGCCCGAAAGGCAGCGGCGGCACCGCGUCCGGUCCUCGAGCGUAUGGGGCUUCGUCACCCGCUCCGUAGGCCCGGCCGGCGCCCGCCGGCGACCCCCCUUAAUCUUUCCAGGUUGACCUCGGAUCAGGUAGGGAUACCCGCUGAACUUAAGCAUAUCAAUAAGCGGAGGA